GUUUAAUAUGAAUGAGGAUAAAACUAACAAAAGAAAGAAUACUAUUCUUUCUUUUUUUGUAAAAAAAAACCAAAAGCCAACAAAGUAAAUGAAGAUGAGAAUAAACCGAAUGAGCCUUCAGCUAAUAAUAAAUCCAUUGAGUUAACUUCAAUUGAGGAUAGUGAUGGUCGUGGUCUCCCAUCUCAAGUUCCAAUUCAUAUUUUUCGUACACAUUCACAAAGGAGCUAUCAUCAGUCUGCCAUUUUGGAUUCUGAAAAUUUUUUAAAUAUAUAUUCUCAUAAAGAAUUGUCAUAAUUGAUCGACUGGAUUCCGAAAG